AUAAGAGACUGUAGAGGGACAGUGGAAACCUGGCAUGCUUUCUAAAGAUUGCUGCAGCAGAGGAAAGGAGCCAGACCACAAUGGCACAUAGGAAGAGAAAUGAGAGGAGGCCACAGCAAAGUGAGGUUGAGAGGGAGUAGGUGCUUAAUACACCUACUAAGAACUAAGCUAUCACACACAGUUGUAUUGGCCAGUUCUGCUACUGAAAUCAUUUUGAGAUGACAACUACCAAGGCAGCUCUGCUGGAGUCAACCCAACUGAGCCCUAAUUAAAAGUCACCGAUAAGAAGAAUAUUACGGACAUUUGUUAUACAUCAUCACCAUCUACUGGAAAGGACUCUUCCCCAUCCCAGUUUUAUAAGGAUAAGAAGUGGUGAGAUUUAAUUUCAAAGAUUGCACUUCUAUUUUGGUAAUACAAAUAAGUGUAAGUUAUCUUGCCUUAUGUACACUUUCUAGUGAGAUCUCAACUAACUGCUCAGUAUCUGUGAUAACCACUUGACGACUGUAUUGUUUGUGUGUGCAAUACACACAAUUGGUUGUGUCUGCACUUGAGUGGUGAACUGUUGAUUUUAUACUAAUGUGGUUCUGAGUGAAUUAAUAAAUUGUUGAUUGGUUAAGAAUAA